rnacentral:lncRNA from 1 species
GCCUAUUUUAACCAAAUAUUAUAAUUACAUAGUUUUAUGUAUUCUAAAAAGAAGUAACUUAUAUCUAACUCUACAAACAAUGAAAAAUAAAAAUGGUAAAUUUAUGAGUACAUAUUUGUGUGCCUUACAAUGGAGGAAAAAAUCUAUCAAAGUUGUAGUUUAAUUCAGGCUUUGGCACCGAAGCAAGUGAAGUCACACCAAACAAGAUCGCAUGGAGGAGGGCUUUUAUCCUUCCAUACAUGAGCCAAAGUUUUUUUUUUUUGACAAGGGUACAUGGAGCCAAAGUUGUUUUAGUGGCUCCGCCUAUAGGCCUUCUGACUCAGGCUUCGUCUUCAACCAUACAAUACUUGGCACAGAGCCGCACCAAAUGUGCAUGCCCUUAUAUUAUGGUUGCCAUAGUGAUCAUAUAAUAAAUUAUGGCUAUUAAAUAUUCUAGAAAUGAUAAAAAUAAAUAGAUAUGUAAUAUCUCAUCCUAAUUUUUUAUUAAAAAAAUGAUAGAUUUUCUCUCGUGUUGUAACAUACGGAUAUAUUUUCUAGUAUUUAUUAAAGUAGAACCUUGAAAGAAUGAGAAGGGAGAUGAAAGACAAACCUGAAAGAAUAAUGAGCUUGGAGAGAUGUCAAAGGAACAUUAUUUUUGAUCUGCACCUAACUACUCUAUCUGUCUAUAAAAGAAUGU